rnacentral:rRNA from 1 species
AACAAAUAUUAAAGGCAACGCCUGCCCAGUGAACAAUUAAACGGCCGCGGUAUCCUAACCGUGCAAAGGUAGCAUAAUCAUUUGUCUAUUAACUGUAGACCUGUAUGAAAGGCAAAAUGAGGGUUUAACUGUCUCUUAUAAUAAAUCUAUUAAACUGAUCUACUAGUAAAAAAGCUAGUAUAACCCCAUAAGACCAGAAGACCCUGUGAAGCUUAAACUAAAAUAUUAAACCCAAUAAUAACUACUUUCGGUUGGGGCGACCUUGGAAACAAAAAGAACUUCCAAACAUAAAUGAUAUUACACAUAAACUUUAGGCCCACAAGCCAACAAAUGACCCAGUACUGCUGAUAAUCGAACAAAGUUACUCCAGGGAUAACAGCGCCAUCUUCUUCAAGAGCCCAUAUCAAAAAGAAGGUUUACGACCUCGAUGUUGGAUCAGGACAUCCCAAUGGUGCAGCCGCUAUUAAAGGUUCGUUUGUUCAACGAUUAAUGUCCU